rnacentral:rRNA from 1 species
UACGUAGGGUGCAAGCGUUAAUCGGAAUUACUGGGCGUAAAGCGUGCGCAGGCGGUCGUGCAAGACAGAUGUGAAAUCCCCGGGCUCAACCUGGGAACUGCAUUUGUGACUGCACGGCUUGAGUGCGGCAGAGGGGGAUGGAAUUCCGCGUGUAGCAGUGAAAUGCGUAGAUAUGCGGAGGAACACCGAUGGCGAAGGCAAUCCCCUGGGCCUGCACUGACGCUCAUGCACGAAAGCGUGGGGAGCAAACAGG